rnacentral:sRNA from 1 species
CUUCACACUCUAGGGGUGGGGCUUGCGUAUCACCCGGAAGGGGAGGAACCAGGUUUCCGUCAGAGGAGCGGAAGGGGAGGAACCAGGUUUCCGUCAGAGGAGGAAAGAGCAGACCUCCCAGAGACGUCCACCAAACGAGGCAUAACACGCUCCAAUAAGACCAGGCGCACACAUUCCGUCAAGGCAGGACGAGACAGAGCGAAAGGGUCCCACCAGUAUCCCAUGGCAACCAGGUUGGAGGCCAGGAUGGCUCAUGUUUUCUUCCCACUGGAGCCAAAGCAAAGAGUCCAAGGUCCUAGGCACAGAAAUGGUCUUCCCACCCCAACUAGACAUCAAUCACAGCCCUCUGGCCCUCAGUUCAAGUACUACUGAACAGGCCCACGUGGGCUUCAGCCCUGGCUCGCUGCUUCCGGCUUUUGUGGAUUUGAGAGGUCGCGCCCCUUCACCAUCCCAUAAUUUCCUUAUAAGUAAAAUGGCAGGAAUGAUACCUACCUCAUGGGUUAUUUGAGGACGCAAUGAUAUAACGCAGAUGAAGGCCUGGACUUGGAGACUGUUAUAUGCUCACCGCGUGAAAGUAGUGGUUAGACCUUCAGAUC